AAUCAUUUGUCUUUUAAAUGAAGACUUGUAUGAACGGCAAAACCUCCUCCAACUGUCUCCCCUCCCAUCCUUCCAAAUUUCCUCCUGUGUGAAGAAGCGCAGAUACACCAGAAAGACGAGAAGACCCUGUCGAGCUUUAACCACUAGGUGGGCCUUACCCUUUCAGGCACCACCCAAAGGUUUUGGUUGGGGCAACCACGGAGAAAAAACAUCCUCCAGAACGAAUAGAAGAAAGCUUUUCACUAUUAUUACGAUUAAGAACCAGGAACUGGUAUUCGGAAAGAGUUACCGCAGGGAUAACAGCGUCAUCUCCUCUAAGAGUCCUUAUUGACGAGGAGGUUUGCGACCUCGAUGUUGGAUUGGGGCCCCCUUAGGGUGCAGAAGCUCUAAACGGUUAGACUGUUCGUCUAUUAAAGCCCUACAUGAUCUGAGUUCAAACCGGAG
rnacentral:rRNA from 1 species